GCUUUCCAUUUUGAUGUGGUGGUCUGUGGGGCAGGUUCACAAGACAGACAUAUGGCACUCUACUGCAUAUGGAUGAGCUCUCUGCUCUUCCUUCCCCAGGAGUUUUGGUUUCUUUCUUGUGGAGGACAGACCGUGCAGCAAAAGGAGUGAGCGACACCCAUGGAGUGACGAGUCGGUGGGUUAUGUGCCCGGCGCACAGUCAGUGACGAGGGGUCCGCUGGGGUUUGUGAGCCUCCGUGGCCUUUUCUGCGCAUCUGGCCUUUUUGUUUCCUACUGCCGGUUUCCUUUGGUGGUUUGGAGCGCCCCACGUGCAUUCUGAUGGACAUCCGAGAAAUGAAUAAAAAAAUCAAUUAAUGCCAUGAAACAGCAGUCAACCAUUUCAGUGAUCAUGAGGAAAGGUGUGGGCAGAAAAAUAAACCAAAAACACCAACCAAGGAAGAACAACCAAAAAACCCACAACACAAAAUCGACCGAAAACCCACACAGAGAACCACGAACACAGAACAAAGUAUCUCCUGUAAUAAAAACAUGGAAUUGUUUGGGUUGGAAAAGACCUUUGUGGACAUCGCUAUUCAUGAGCUAUUACUGAACUUUUCUUUCUAACACCCGAUUUUUGUUUUUUUAAUAGCCUCUUUCAGGAAGGAGGAAAAUCGGAUCAGAGCUGCAGGACAAAAUGACAAGUGUUUAGUUUGUUAUUCGUUCCAGCUAAUAAAUGUGAAUAUUGCUGUGAGCCUCUUUCAGACUGGUGGGCAUAACAACUGCAAUUCCAUUCAAGCUAAAUGAGGGAGCAGUUAAAAACGUCUUUAUUAGUGAGGGCUGAAACAAUAGGGGCUGCUGCCAAAAGCAUAAAGUGCCGAAGCACAGCAAAGGUGUUCGUCUGGGGGGUUGAGGCGUUUCCUUGGGUUAACAGAGCAAACAGAGAUUGGGAGCUGGAGAUGAGAAGUGUAUCGUGAGAGAAGGAAGCAGGACCAGAAGAGCUGAGGAGAUGGUCAGAACAAGCAUUGCCACCAUUGGGAACGUGCCUUUCAGAAAUGAAACAGGAGACAUUCUUCUUGCCCCAAGAAAAUGGGGUAUUAUUCCUUCUGUAUUAAAACAAAAAAAAAAGGCAGGAUAGCUUGCGAAAAGGGUCUCGUCUCCAGGAUGUGGUUCUCUUUCAGAUGUGGAAGGCAGCUCGGGUUUGGCUCAGUGCUCCGGUGAAACGGGAGGUGAGGAGGUAAAUCUUCUGGGCUGGAUUCUCAGCUAAUACCAGUGAGCACAGCGCUGUGCUCUCGAGCCUUUGUGAGGACAAGACGUGCAGAAGCAAGCGGGAAAGGUGAACGAGUUCUCCUCUCCUUUGUUUAGGGCAAAUUAGAUGUCAUUGGACACAGGGUGGUUUCCAAUUUUGACAUAUUUUCCUGCCAAAACAUGAUGCUAGGAUGAAAAUAGCACUGCUGGAAAGAACUAACAUUCCUCCCUCAUCUGACCACACUGCAGAAAACAGGAUAAUUAUAGGUGUGUGUGGGAUGAGGAACCUUCUGAACUUUGCCGUUUCCCUGUAAACAUGGAGCCCACUGAGACUCGUCCGGACUGUGUCUGAAGUGGCGCGGGGCAGUCCGUAGCUGUGGUGAGGUGUGGGGUGGAAAAGGCAUUUCUCUGGCUUGGUUUCAGCUUUUAGGUGAGUUGACCGUAACGUUGAACAGGGUGUUCGGUCCUCAGCUCACGUCCACGCACCGUGGGUGUGACGAGGCCCAGAGCCGUGCUUGGGGUAUUCAGCUUGGCGGAAGGCAAGUGCCAUUAGCAAUGAACACCCUGGUGUGUGCUCAGGACCUUCUUUUGUGGCUUCGGGGGUGUGUGUGGGGGAAAUAUUUCAGCUGAGUGCAUUCAUAAUUGUGUGGGGUUUUGGUUUUGUCUUUAGGCUAAGAGUUUUGUUUGAACUUGAACUCUUUCUCCUCUGGAUCCUACAUCUCCAUGUAUUAAAGUAAGCGUAUUAAAAAGCCUGCCGUGUAUCUGAAAUAAGCGUUGUGAUGGCAGGCCCACAGCCAACUGCAUCUCACACCUGGGAAGAGGUGCAUUUUCCUCAUAGUUUAUUUUUUAGCCUCAAAAGAGCAACUAUUCUGCUUUCGCAAGGCAGGAUGUUUGGCAAGGCUUUAUGUAUAAUAAGUAUGGCAUGCUGAUUACAAAUGAAUAGUGCUACCACAGUAAAUUGCACCCAGACAUGGUAAAUAAAACAAUAGGAAAUUACCUAGUCUGUGAUUUGCUGACAGAUUUUAGUUAGUCAGUUGCUAUUUCACUGUUCCAGUAACUAUAAAUUCCAGACCCACACAAACUGCUUGCUACUAUUAUCAUCCCACAUUCUCUAGUUAUUUUGAACUUUUUAUGGUGUCAAUGUUAUUUCCUAUUCAACUGCAUAACAGCUAAUUUAACUUAGAUAAAUUGGCUGAAAUGAAAACAUAGUAUGACUGCAGCCCUGAUUGCUUUUUGUUCAAAAAAGGGGAAAAAAAAAGGUUGUAGAACUCUGCAGCAUCCCUUGAGGAUGUGCAGUGAUCCCCAGACUGCAGAGACAGCCUUGGGGAGGGUGCUGUGCAAGUCACCAUUCGCUUUUGUCUUUUCGCACUGGGUAUGUACCGUGUGGGCACACUGAGCAGCGGUUCGUGUUGAGGUCAACAUCAUCCCUUUGCAGCGGCUUCCCCGUGGAACAAGGGCUGGCAGGCCGCGGUGCUCGGAUUUGCCUGUAGAGCUGCAUUUCAAUCUGAAAACCUUCCUACGUAUUUUGCCCUCUACCCAUCCUCAUUUGCUGUGCUGAAUGUUUGGGGUUUGUGGAAUGGGGAGGUAAAGUUAGCUCCACACUGAGCUGCCUUUACCUGUUGGAAUCUCUGGUAAUACAGCUACUGUGUCAGAAGACCUACCUGGUUAACUUUUGUUGACUUUCAGUCUGCUUUUGGCCUGGUUUGUGUAACUGAAACGCAGCCACGUUGCCAGUUUUCACAGACAUCCUGGAUGUCUGGAAAGCUCCAGCACUCCUCAGAGGAAUAAUAAGUUCUGUACGCUAGGUGUGUUUGGUGAAUAGCUGUUCUGUGCGUGGAGGUUUGUCCGUUAUGGUAAGAUGCACCUUCGGGUGAUUGCCUGGCCUCGGCUGACGUGACUCGAGUCUGAACUCGCCGUUGCAGGCGGGAAGUGAGACGUGUCAGCUUGCACCCGCAGGACCACAGUGGGGUGGGGUGCUGGGAAUGGCCUCCUGUUCUAGAGUCUCAUUUGGUUUACCUAACCCAGAGACUUGGGGAUAUUCAGUUACUUUUUUAAAGGUAGCGUAGGUAUAAUAGAGGCAUAACUGCAGUUUUACUGGAGAAUAAAGGUGUAAGUACCCUUUCACUGAGAUGAGAAACAUAUUCUCCAGAGCCUGAGAUAUUAACUGCUGAUUGCUAUUUAGAUGUCUGUAUGUAUUUAUCCCUGCUUCUUCCUACUGUGUGUUCAGUUUGAAAGAUGCUAAUUUACUCUUCAGCUGCAAACUCUGUUGCUGUAUUUCCUUAAUAAUGAACCCGACUGGAGUCAGUAUAACCGCAGCGUCACAAGGCGUGGAGGCUGGUGCUCGGGGCUGUAGGGAGACCGUCCUGGUCUUAGUGCCUGUGAAGCUCAGGCAGCAGCUUCCACCCUGCCGAGGAAUGGCUGGGGCAAAUAAGGUAAUAAAAGCUUUUUAAACCAGCAUUUCUGCCCAAAAUUACAUAAAUUAUUUUACCCUGAUUUAUGAUAAGGUAGCAAACAUUCAGGGCUUUCAUGAGUUAGAAAAACACCCUGGUUUAGCUUCAUCUGCUUUUUGAAAUGGUUCUUAGGUAGUCCUGACAAGUCUAUGGCCUACAAAUUCUUCUAAGAAACGCUCAACUCCUUUUUCAUGUGUUAUCCACACAUUGUGUCUGAAGUGUUCAUCUCAAAUCCCAUUAAAUCACCUCCUGUGUGCCGACAUUCUUCUCCAUCUUCUGACCCUUACAAGCGAAUUUAAAAGGCGCUCAUGUACAUCUCUUUAGCCACGUUUUUCUGUUCCUAAGGAUCCUGAGUGCUCAUCUAACACUUUUCAACUUCAAAGCUCUUCAGAAGUGAAGGACCCAAUCCAAAGUCCACCAAAAUAAAUGAGUAGUCUUUCUGUGAGCUUCACAGUGCCUUAAACUCUAAAUUGUGCUCAUAUUCUUGUUAUUUUCCGCCAUCUGUUCUCUGAAGACCUGCCGUCUACUGCACCUACUUGAAUUUUAGACUCUGGGUAGUAGCUCUUGUAUCAUGCUCCUGUUUAGCAGUGGCAGAAUGAGACCAUUUCUUCCAGUAGCUUUCUGAGAGACGCUAAAAAUUGGGGUAUAAAUAUAGUCUUACAGGCCCUUUGUAGCUAACAGUUGUCUUUCUGUGUGAGCCUCUAGCCUGUCGUUCACAGGAAUUUCCUCGGGCGAGAUGGCCACGAGGUCUGUGGUACGGAACCAAGGCCUGCCGUGAGUUCCGGGUGCUUCCACGAUUCUUCCUGAGCCCCUCUCACUGCACAGAGCUCCUCCUGUGCUCCUCCGAGCAGACUGGACGGGUAAUUCCGCUUCUUGAACGACUAGAGGAGGCGUUAGCCUUGUAGCGCUCUUUGGGAAGUCUGGAAGGCCUUGCUGCUCAGGGUGUGCUCAGCGGCUGUCUCUGUGCGGGGGUGCGGGUGGGGACUGUGCGCUUAGCAGCUCUGCUUUGGCAUCCUUUAUAUCUCCUGGUUUUCCUGAUUUUGCAACCUCACUGCUUUCUUUCCGGCAGAUUUUGAUUUCUCUGUGCUGGUAAAAUGCGCUAGUUCUUCUCCCUCUUUGUGUUUUCUCUUACUUGUCUGUUGCAUGCAUUUUAUUGCUGUGUUUUAUCAACUUUCCCACCAUUUGUUUGUUUAUUCAUUCCCAGUAUUUGUUUUUCUCGUCUCCUUACAGGAUGCUUUGCGUCUGUGGAGGCGACGGAGCAUUGUCAGCUGGCAAUGUGUGGGCAGGUGGUCUGUAGGGAUUACUGGUACCAGAAAUAGUCUUCCCUCGGUCUGUUAACAAUGUGCUUUUGCUGUUUUCAUUGUUGCUCAUUUGACGAGUCAGCUGGAGCCAUUUCAGAUCUCAGUGUGGCAGGCGGUAUGUGCGGCUUACAGGCCGAGAGCUGCUUGGCGCUGGGCUUGUGAUUUGCCUUGGUGCUGCUGCUGGUUUUGAGCCCUGUGGAACCCACAUUCAACAAAGUGUGUAAGCCGUGCUUUUGCAUGCCCGUGUAACCUUCUGUUCCUACCACUGGUAGGCUCUUCGUUACCGGUUAUCUGUCCUUUCAUUAGGUUGGAGCUUGCAUUAAAUUAGCCCUCAGUUCUACUUAGUCCUGCACUGGACUUCCUGGACCCUGCUCAACUCACAUUUUCAUUUGUCCUUGAACAGCAUGACCACUUAGAUCUGGUACAAUGGAUGUUCAUAAACCAGCCUCAUCUUGCCAUUGCAAUUAGAUAAUGCUGCAGCUGAUUUACCUCUAAUUCUCUGCUCUUAAUAUAAGAAAAACGGAUUGUGCCAAGGCAGCCAGAUUGCCUCGUCUGCUUUCCUCGCAAGUAUCUUGGCACCAUCUCUCCCUUUCUUUGAAUGAUGUUAAGUCCAGCUUUAUUACAAUCAAGAUGCAGGUUUUAUUGAAGAGCUGAAGUGAUUACCCAUUAGAGCAUGCUGCUGUAGAGGUGGUGGGAAUCCUUAGAGAGGAACCCUGAAUCAGGGGUUUAACUGUGGCUCGUCUGGGUGAAAUCCAGUGUUGUUCUUUAGGAAAUGUGGGUGUAGGUGGUGUGAUUGUCCCUCCGCAUGGCUGUUAUGCUGAUGAACUGAGACAUGCUCUCGUCGUUCAGUGACCUCUGGGAUUGCUGGGGUGAGAUCUGGGGUUCCUGGCGCUUUCAGAGAUGGGGGUCAAUGGGCUGUGUGAGCUUCCUUAACUCAGUUUAGUGAUCACCAUCUUCCACAUGGUAUGGAAAAAAUACUUCAAGGAAAUUAUAAAACUGUGAAAAUCGUGUGUUUGAAUGUAGCAUUAUAGACUUGUGUGCUGUUCUUCAGAUGUAAACCCAAGUCCUUCCCCAGCGUUCUAGCACUGGGCUUAUCUGUCCGUUGUGUGCACGCUCACCUUCUGUUCAAGCACACAGAGCGCUGCUUCCAGAGCUGCACUUCCUGACUGAACCCGGCAUGGCUCCAUGAAGACGUGAUAACAUAUCAAAGGAAAUCAUGAGAUAGCGUGGCACGUGCAUGUGGUUUUUUAAGGCUGCAUUAGAUGCUGACUCUAAGGCUAAAAAAGAUGAGUAUUUCACUUCAAAUAUUUGUUUGUUUUCAGCAAUUCUUACUUAUUUGCUAAACAAUGAAUAUUCUAUGGAUGGCUGAGGUGUUUGGAAAUAAUUUAAUAUGGUAUUUGGUUUUAAUUCUUGUUUCUUGUAGCUGCCAACAGUUUAAGACUUGUGAGCUGAGAGAUGAAUAUUAUACAUCGGUUCUUUGGGGGCCAGGGUUGGUAGGGAGAAGACUUACAUAGCAACAGCGAAGAUGGCAGCUAUUGGUGUAAUUAUUGGAUACUAAUUGGUGAUAGACUAUGGAGAUCGUUUAUAGCCUUCAGCUUUUCUCUCAUCCGUCAUAAUGAUUAAUUUCAAAAGCUGUAUGUACCUUUCUUCAGCCGCGUCUCUUCUUCAUACUCUAGCAAAGAAAUAGGAUUUUCCUCGAGGCGAUUUCCUUCCAAGAAGCAGCACAGACCAUUUCCUUUUGGGCUUCAUUGCUGGCAGAAAGUUUUUGCCCUGGUAAUCUCUACAGCAAAUUGAAGAGUUUAUAACAGAAAAGUGAAAGCAAUUAGUUUUCUGAUUAAAUUCACCUUUGAAUUGAGGAGUAGGUUUCAUGUGCAUUCAGAUGAAACAGACCUCGUAGAACAAUGGAAAAGGCCUUCGUAUAGAAAGUAAUAAAAAGAUAAUUGGUUCCUCUGUGUUUUUAAUAACAGUCUUCUUUGGGAAAACACACACGUCUGUCCAGUACCUGGGUCAUUGUAAUCGCAGGGCUGCGUGUGCCCGCAUGUGUGUAUUAUAUAUGAUUAGUUUGAUUUGGCUUGCUCUGUGCUGAUAACCAGCAUUGCUUUUACAAGCAUCUCACAACCGAUACUGUUGCCAGCAUUAGUGUUGUGAGGCAUUGGCGGUAUGGCCUAUCGUUUUCUGCAGACUUGAGCAAGAAUCAUUCUGGGGGGUAAAUAGGACUAGAGCGAAUACUGAGGGUUGGGUCACACCUGGAAAAGACGACACGUGUCACCCGCGCGUGGAGCGGCAGCUUCUUGUGCUCUGAGACAGCCCUCUUAGCAGCGCUUACUGGCUCUCGUUCUCUCCAGGAGAAGGGGGAGGAUGAUAAAUGUCCUGUCACAGCCCCAAAUGUGCUCGUGCCCCUCCAUGUCUAGUGAAAGGAUAUAUAUAUUAAUGUAAUGCAGGGUCUGCCUUUCCCCUUCCCCUGGUGACAGCUCCUCCUUGGCUGCUGACCCGUGGAGAGCAUGUGAAGGUGGAAUUUCAGGCUCUUGGCUCCCGUGCGGGUCUGUUAUCUGUGUUAAAAAUUGAGUCUUAAAAUGUGGUACCUUAAAGAUGGGGAACUGUGAGUAGCUCUAGAUGGUUUGACCCUAUACAGAGGUAAUUGCUGGUAAGGUGGUGCUUCAUGUAGGCAGCGUCAUCAUGUGAGAGUGAAUGAUGGCUGUGUGAGAGCAUUUAUUUAAACUGCAGCCCUUGUUCCUCCGGUGUUUUAUCAGGUUGAAUUUGCUUUUCUCAGACGUGAGAUUUAUGCUUGCAUUCUCUUGUUUGAAAGUAAAGUUUUGUCCAAUGAAGAGUCUGUUUCCACUUGCAGGGAGGUAAUUAGCUGUUGGCUCCCAGAACCACAAGAGAAUAUUGCCCUUGUGUACUGAAAUGGAGAUGCUAAUUUUUAGAUCAAUAAUUAAUUUAAUUUGCAUGGCUUCAGUACUUAAAACAGCCAGGUAUGUGUUGUUAGGUCACAGCCUGAAGACAAGACCACCACUUCUAGUUCAAGGGUGGAAAUGUAAGGAUUUUGUGUGCAUCUGAGCUUUACUGACCCAGGCGCAAGUUUGCUUUUGGAGGGCAUGAUGCUCUGGGGCCUGAAAAGGAGGGCAGGCUGGAUGGAGGUCUGAAUCACCGCGGAGGCUUGUCUGCUGAAAGCCCUGUGUUCUUUACAAACUGCCUUUGUCCAGCGAAGAUGGACCAGCUUCCCGUCAGCUUUGCGAUACUCCUGUCCCAGAGGUUGUCCUUGGUGUAAGGGUGUAACCUCAGGCGGUUCUAGAGCCGCAGCCACCAUCUGCAGUGGGUUAGUAAUGCCCAGGCAAAACUGUCUCUGGUUUGAAGUUGUUUCCACUCCCAGGAGUUUCCAGACCGGGGAAAAAGGACAGGUGUUUUCUCUCUGAUGACUCUUCUGAUUACUCCUAUUAUUUUGUAUCAUUUUUUACCAUUUAUCAACAGUGGCAUGCUUGACUGAGAAAUGACAAAGGUAUCUCAGCCUGUCACAUAUUUCUUACUUUGCUGAAGAUGGCCCUUCAAUUUAGUCCUGGCUUUACCUGGAGCAUGCUGCUUCCUGAGAAAUCGUCUCAUCCAUCACUUGACUUGUGAUUUUUGUAGGGUCAGAUGUGAAACGGCCCCACAGAAUGCAUCGUCUGACCUGUUUUGAUGUGAUGUGACAGAAGUCGUAAGAAUUGCUACUUUUUUGCUGCCGGUGCAGUCAUUUUAAGGGCACUUUACCCGCGUUGCCCAUGGAGCAGCAGUUCAGCCUGUUUGCUGACAAUACACGUCGCUUUGGGGAUUCAAGCAUAUCUCUGGUUUCCACUCUGCUUUAGGAAAUCCAAAGGAUUCUUAGGAAUAUAUUUGCAGUAUGAUUUCCAGGGAUUUGCUGCACACCUAUUUCUGUCAAGGGAAGUUAUGUUGUUGUCAGCACAUUAAUCUCAAGAAAGAUGAGCGAGUAUUCACCAGGCAGUGUUAUAUGUUGAAGUUUCAUUUCAAACCCCUUAAAAAUCAUAAGGCAAAUAAGCAAAAGGGGGGAAAAAACCCCCGAACCUUCACCACUUCUUUUCAAAAUGAAUUCUACUGUAUGCAUUUUUAAAAACUCUUUUUGCAUUGGGCAGUCAACAAUAUUUAACAAAGUUUUGUAAGGAUAAAAGAACAAAUCACACUAAUAUAUCUGUUUAUGCUGGAAGCUUUCCAAUGCACAUUAAAACCCCCAAACACUCAUUUACAAGGCACUGACCUACGUUGAACAGGUUUGCAAUAGCAGCUUCUGACCUAAUGGAGAAUGCUGGAAAUGCCCACUUAUUCAGCAUCACUUUUUCUAAAAGACACCCUGUUCUUCCCCAGCUUCCAUUACAGAUCACGCGAGGCAGGAAUCACGUUGGUGCUUUUGCAGUGCCUGAAAUAACAGAAUCCCGACCCGCGACCUCUUUUGUGGCACUGCAGUAAAGAUAAUUACUAAUAUACUUAAGAGGAAAAUAGGAAGAAAUACUCACUGUAAGAAAUUCACCCUCUCGUUACCAGCAACAUCCACCUUUAAAGCCUUAGAGCUAUAUAAAUAUAUUUGGUACAAUGAUGUGCAAGUGUAUAUCAAGUCAUUUCACUGCCAUCUUGGAGCAGUUCAAAGCACACAUAGCUGAGUUUCACCAAGACAGGCACAAACUCAUCGCUCAGCUUGGGGUCCUCCGGAGGUGGGUCCAGGUGCUCUCAAACACGUUUGGCCUUUCAGCCCGUCUCACCGGAGUGAUGACUGUAGCAAAACUGCAAUCCCUCCUGAGCUUUGAGGAGCUUUUGGUUUCACUGUCAACAUUUAAUUCAAACCUGAAGUCUGAUGAGAUGAAGCUUAGUAGGGAGGGUUAUUUACUCGGUCGCUUCACUGUAAAGUCCCUUUGUUAUUGCUGGUGUCUCAGCUGGAACUCCAGCGGGAGGCUCCUGCGGUCAGGGGUGAUACCCGGGCGCCGUUACGUGUCUGUGUGUUGCAGUCCGGUGGUGGAGGGGAAGAACAAGGAGGAAAAGCAAGCACAGUGUUCUCUGUGGGCAGCGAUUUUUGCAAGAUACUUCAGGGGAAUUUUCAAGUGAGAAAGAAACCUGUGGAUGUUUUAGCAGUUUAAUUAUGUCUGUGUUAAUAAAGAAUUGGAAGGGGGCUGGGAAUGAUUGUUAGGGUGUAGGGAUCUGCUCAGGGACGGUAGUGCAGUGCCAUGGGGCUGCAGAACCUGGCCAGAGAAUCCCGGGUGCGGAGCGGGAGCGGCUCACCGGAGCGGGGGCAGUUUGUCUGCUCGGUUCCAUUUCCAAGGCCACUGGCUGCUCCUUUGGUAGCUGUUGUGAUGGAUCACCCGCGGUCCUUCAGACAUCCCGGCCCGAGCGGCACUGAUGAGACUUGAGAGCAAGGACACAAGAAGGGAUCACGGAUUGCUGGUGACUUCGUGAUGGUGGUGAAAAUCUCUUCUCAGCGAUCCAUGCAGAGCGAGGAACCAGGUGCAACCAUUCCUGGUGGCCAGUGUGCCUCGGAGUCAGUAAACAUUGCGGGUUGGUUACAAGUAUGGUUCAGCUUCUCCUUUAGCAAGACCGGGAAGGAGAGAAGUCCACGCUCUUGUGCUGACAGCGAGCAAGAGCUGCUUUUCCUGCUGCAGAAGGAAGACGGUAUCUCAGUUCCUCAGCUCUGUGGCCUUAGACUUCACUGGGAGUUCAUAGAGGAAGAGCGCGUUCGGAUGCUUUGUCGAUCUAGCCAAAGUGUUCCGUGAGGACACCGAGAGAGAAAUCACUCAGUGGCUGGUGAGCAGAAUUAGGGAAUGAGCUGGUGAUACAUGCUGGUAAGCGACCGAAGUGACGACUUUCCCCUGCCCAACAAGGCACAUCCUUGUAAAAGUAAUGCAGAUGAACAGGUCAGUCAGGCAAUUCUGGGCUUCGCUUUGUGAAGAGCGGGAGUUUCACACAACUUUAAAAGCAGUAGUGGCCAAGGCAGCAAGUGACUAACACAGCUGAGGUUCCCGAGGCUGUAAGGUGGAGGUGGUGCUCAGCUCGGGCUGGAUUUGACGGCUGUGCUCAGUGGGUCUGCCAAAGCGGAGCACCGAGUUUCAAAAACCAUGAGAAUAUGUCUGAAUUCCAGGGCAGGUGGCGUUAGCUGAGUGAGAUUUGUACAGCAGUGCCAAGGACAUAACAGAAGACACCACUCCAGCCACCCGCUCCCCUUGAGGAAGAUUUGUUCCUUUGGACACUCAGGACAGCACUAAAAGACUCGGGCACGCACAGGAGCUGCUGAGGAAGCUGCAAGAAAUCACCCUUAGAGAAGUGAGACUGAAAUGAGGCACCUCUGAGUGCGGAGAGGAGGACGAAGAAAUUAGAGAAAAUGAAAGGUUUCCACCUGGUUUGAAAGUACUAAGAAUUACAGCUUUCCAGUGCCAGCUCAGACACUGAGGAUUCCCCGCCACCAUAAAGCUAUAAUUGCUGAAUUAAUGAUCGCAGGUUUUGGAGAGUGACUGCACAGACUCUCUGACCAAGGUUCAUAAAUAGUAACAUCCCGUUGUCCUGGAAAAAGUUCAUUUGUUCUCGUUUUCUUUGUCUUUGCCGGUGCCCUCGCUCCGUGCCCUCUCGUGGCUGAAGACAGGAUAAUUGUACCAUGCAAAGGAGAACUGAAAUGGAAGCUGAGGAGAAUUUAUCUGGUGAAGGCAAUGGAACCUCAGCCUGAGGACCUAGGCAGCCCAGUGAAGAAACGCGUAAGUGAGCGGCACCUCCAGCGUCCCCUCCCGCGCCCGCGGGCGGGGAGCUCCGGGUCGCCGGGGCAGCGCUGCGGCCUUGGCCCGGCGCUGGUUCCGCUGCGGCGUUCCGCAGGAGCUGUGCCGGCGGCCGCGCCAGACACCUGAGAGCAGACUCAUUCACUCUUUCAGCCCGGGUUGCGGUUUUGGGACGAGCAUCAGAGCAGUGGUGGAUCCUGAGGGCCUGGCUGGGUCGCAGGUGACAAAGGUGCCUCCCGAGCGGGUGACAGUUCUCGCUGAGCCUUCGCGUGCUUGGGCCUGGAGGAAACAAAGCCUUCAAGUGACUUGAUCGAAAAGCAAACCGCGGAAUCCGCGCAGUGCUGUGACCGCUGCACGGCGGCGCGGGCUGGCGGUGGGACACGGCGCUGCGCUUCGCAGCACAGGCCCUGCCGCCACUUCCAGCGCCGGAAAACCCCCGAACCGCCACCUGGCAACUUCCGUCAGAGACAACGCUGUGCAACCCCUGACUCGUUUCUCUUACGCAGUCCCGAAUGAUGAGGUAUCGUUUGAAGUCUGUGCUUUCCUGGAGCGUGUAACAAACAGUUAAACUGGAAGAAAGAGUUUCAAGGCGGAUCUGGUCCUGAGAAGCACGAGCAGCCGGCUGCAGCACUCAGAGCAGCGCGUAGCCCUGGCCCGGCGGACAGAAGGUGCUUCUGUGGGGCAGUGAGUUACAUUAAGGAGUAAAGUGGAAUCUGACUGCACAACCUCAUGGGGAAACCGUCUAUAUUUAAGCUCUGAGUUUUUAAGAAAUUCCCCUUUUGCAAGCUAAUACCUUUGAAAUGACAAGAUAUCUUCCUGUGCUGUAAGAAAUAAAGCGCUGCAGCAAGGAUGGGAGCACCAACCUGGACGCAGGUUCUUCUGCACUUCGUGCACUCCCGCACCCUGUUCUGCGGUUCUCACGGUUCAGAAAAGUGGCAACUUCUAUGCCCCUUCAUGUCCUCUGCCAGAUGCAACUGAGAUACUGAUACGGCUGCACUUCAAAGUAAAAUGAAGGAAUCCGAGGUCGUCGGUGCUCUUCAGAUUUGCACCGUGUCAGGACUAAGUGCUAUGAACCCUUGUUUAUAUGGAGUGCGGCUGCAGAAAUCUUUCCCACGAACAAGCAGGAAGUGUGUUUGCAAGUGGAAAGCGUUAGGGAAGAGGUGGAAUAGAGAGCUGUGCAGAAGCAGAGGACAAGCCCAGUGCCAGGAGAGCAGACACCGGCCGCGCCUCUGUCCCAGCACCGAGGUUACGUUUGGAAAGGUUUGCACGCACGCAGGCGUGAGAGGGCUGAGAACUUCGGUAAAGGCGGAGCAUCCUGUGGUGCGCCAGCUCACAAACCCCACUCGUGAUCGGCCCUGGAAAGAACACGAGAGGAUGGAGAUGAGGAAAACCAGGCGGGUCUGGAAGGAAGAAACGUCCGUGUGAGGUGCGCAGUGAGGACGGACACCACUGAGGCUCUUGGAAUGUGUACAUGAGAAAUUAGUGACCACAUGGUUUCAUUCACUGAAACAGCCGAUUGCAAAAUUAGACAAAUACUUUGACUUUGCCCCCGGCUUUCGCGGCUGCUGCACCUCUGAAGGCUCCGCUCACCUCUAAUUACACGUCCGCUGAAAUCAUGCAGAGAAGGACCAGUGUAAGUCAUUAGCCGUCCUAAAUGAAUGUGCAGCUGACUCGCUAACAACGGGAUUAACACUUGACAGGGAAAGCGGUGCACGCUGAGGAGAGGGUCAUCGGGUGACUGCCUGUUACACAGAAAUAAUUGCCACGCGAUGCUGAGAGAAGCUGCUGUCUGCAGGCUGUGUUUGCUGCGCGGGGAUGUGUCCUCUGUCACCUCUUACCCUCUGCACGGCACAGGAGGUGAGCCUGGGCAGCGGGCACCCGUGCGGACCGGGGAGCGUGAAAACAGGUUCUGGAAAUACAAGGCGAUCUCCAGCCCAGGGAUGUUCAAUUGGAACCACCCACCUACUAAACAGAGCCCAAACGUUUUAAAAAUGCCUCUUUGCUUGAUCUUCCACUGCCGUAGUAUUGUGCGUGGCUUGACACAAAUGGUUGGUUUGGGGUUGUUUUUAAUUUUUUAAAGAUUGAAGACAAUAGUAGGCAUAGUAAAAAUAUUUGUCUUCUUCCCCUACCUGCCAUUUUCUUAUUUAAAUGCACUUCAUGAUUCCAUGAAAUAUCCACACUACAAUGAGCCUUUCCUAGAUUAAACUGUCUCCAGAUAGAGUCUUCUCUAACUAGUAUUUUACCUUUUUGAGAAUACAGUUCCUAUUCAUGGAGUGUAACAGAUCUGUUAAUUCUGUGGCCACGAAGAGAAAGUACCUGUGGAGGACUUAAAAAUGCAAUGACAGUUAGAAGAUGUGCUGCAAGGCUGAGCGAGGGGAUUGUGGUCACCGCUGUCACCAUGGUGCUGUUGAUGAAUUACUCAACUGUGCUUGCUGAAAAUAUGCCACUACAUUAGCAUAAUGUCAUGUGGAAUAUCCUGUUCAGCAGCGAGAGUGAUCUUACAGUUAGGAAAGAUUUUGGGUAGGACUUCCUGCUAGAAUAAAUGCUCAUCACUCUAUUGAAGUCACUGCAGCUGUUACGAUUCAGAUGGAGCAGACAAGGACUGAAAUGAUGGCAGAGCAUUCAGCGCGCACUUGGGGUCGAGCAGAAAGUGGCUCCAGGUUGGAAUUGUGAGCAGGGAUGCAUUUUUCUUUAGUGCUCUCUUGCAGUGCAGAACUUGUGUACCAACUGCAAUAAUUCUCAGCCAGGAUCACAGGGGAUUUCCAGGUAAGCAGAGUCUGGAACUGGCUUUUAUUUGGUUUAUUGUUUUAAACUUGCCAACAAUACGUGAUGGAAUACUUCUUGGCCUAUUUUGGAAGAACUGUACCGUUUCAUAGCAAGUUAGCUCGGUCAAAGAAAUCUAACUGGACUAAACAUAGAUACACUUUGACAUCUUUAGCCCAAUUUAAAGAGAGGGGAAUUUUGUGCAGACAUUUUAAGUUAUCCAGUCAGCCACUGAGCUGAUGAUACAAUAACAACACACAACUAAGGCUGAGGGAAGACACAACAGCAGUGGGGUGGUAUUGUACAAUGUGAAAAGGAUGUUCAUAUCCAAACAUCACAUGCACAGCUGAGCAUGAAUUCACAUUAGAUCAACUUGAGCUUCAACCAUAUAUUUAUUAGAUAUGGGUAGAAACAAGUAUUUUUCAGUAGCGGAGUACUAAUAUGGCAAAGGUUUUCAUCUGGUGAAAUGCAUGACUUCUAAAAACCUGCAUAUGGCUAGGAUUUCCAAAGGCUUGUUGAACCGUACAGAUUUUCAUGAGUGAAGCUAAAGACACAAAUCCACAUUUUGUCCUACUGGCACUGAAACGUUUGAGCACGGUGCAUGAGUGGAGCGGGUGAGGUGAGCGCAGCAUUGAUAGUCCCACACUCAGCCUCAGCCUCCUCGCUGCACGUCCCCGCCAGCCCAGCUCAACCCAUCGUUGGGCUCUUGCGCCGAGUGCAGCGGAGGGAUCUGUGCUACUCAUGAGCAAAAAGGCCACAGAAAAAAACAAUGACGGGAAGGAAGUUUACGGCUGAGCCAAUGGACAUCCCACAGAUCGUCUUCCAUUCACCGCGGAGUACUGCUUCCCUGGGUCUGAUGAACUGACAUCUGGUUCGUGUAUUUGCCUGAUUAUUUAGUUCUCUGCAUCACUUUGAGCAAUGUAAUCUCUGUAAUUGGUACACAGAAGUUUUUCGAGUAUGGUUAAAAGAGCAGAUUCUGUGUCGAGGUCCCAUCACGGUUGUUUUUGCUAUCGGCUUCAGAAAUCAUGCAAAAGAAGUCUAAUUUUGUGUUUAUUCAUUUACAGAGGUACCGUAUUUGCAGCCUUGGAAACAGUAUUUAGGUCUGCAUGCGAAGGAAAUAAAAUGCCCUAAUUAAUUUUCUGCAUCGUUGAAACGGAGGUUCAGUGGAACGCAGCGGGCAGAGAUUGCAGCCGUCAGAGAACCAUCCCGAACCAACCCUCCAGCGGACGGGGAGCAAAAGGUACCGCGGGACGG